GAUGAACGCUGGCGGCGUGCUUAACACAUGCAAGUCGAACGGAAAGGCCCAAGCUUGCUUGGGUACUCGAGUGGCGAACGGGUGAGUAAUACGUGGGUGAUCUGCCCUGCACUUCGGGAUAAGCCUGGGAAACUGGGUCUAAUACCGGAUAGGACCACUUCUUGGAUGUUGUGGUGGAAAGUUUUUUCGGUGUGGGAUGAGCUCGCGGCCUAUCAGCUUGUUGGUGGGGUAAUGGCCUACCAAGGCGUCGACGGGUAGCCGGCCUGAGAGGGUGUACGGCCACAUUGGGACUGAGAUACGGCCCAGACUCCUACGGGAGGCAGCAGUGGGGAAUAUUGCACAAUGGGCGCAAGCCUGAUGCAGCGACGCCGCGUGGGGGAUGACGGCCUUCGGGUUGUAAACUCCUUUCGCUAGGGACGAAGCGUUUUGUGACGGUACCUGGAGAAGAAGCACCGGCUAACUACGUG
rnacentral:rRNA from 1 species